CCAGGUUCAUUGAACCCGCACAGACCCUUUCAUGCAUGUGUUUCUGAUUCUGAUUUCAUGCGCUGACAUCACUGAAACGGUAUGCCCGGGGUUAGUCUCAUGACCACCGAGCUGGGAGCGCAGGAAUUUUGGUGCCAGAAAAAUUAGAUAAUGUGGGACAUACUGACUUUGCUCUCCAGUUUCCAAAUCCUCCUGGGACACUUCUGAGCCUGCCGGAGGCUGUGGUCCUUGUCACUCACGUACAGGGAGGAUCGGGCCGCCGUCCCGGUCACCAGGACACCCCUCAUCCUCCAAGUCUCAGUCUGGACAAAGCUGUGUCUGACUCCUGCCCUCGGCAGCCUUGGAAGCCCCAGAUGAUCCCAGAAGCCCCUCUGCUAUGACACUCGCGACCUUGUAUUGCUAUUAUCUCCCUCUGUCUUCCCAGGGGUGAGUGUUCUUCAUGCUGGAUGCCGAGGACGGACCCUCAAAGCUGGUGUAAUUGAAACCAACCCUCUAAAUGCUUGUUCAUUCCUGGGGGAAAUUAAAGGUGAUUUCAAGCAGGAAGAUCACAGAUUUCAGAAAAAGGGCCUGGGGGGCUGCACUGUGGACUGGACGGCUGGGCUGCUGGAGCCCCGUUCGGGGAGAUUAGCUGCAGCCGAUUGCACUUUCCGGAGGGAGGGCCGGCCUCGUGGGGAGACCCCUGCCCUCCUGGCCCCCCUCCACUCGGCAGAGGUAAGGAGGCCCGCCAGCUUCAGGGCUUGCUGCCCGCGGCCCCCCACCCCAGAAAGAGCCAAGGUGGAGUCAGGGAUCAGAGCAGGCACCCAGCUCAGACCGGGCUCCCUGAAAGCCCCCCCAGCCUGUGUGGGGGGGUGGGGGGAGCCUGGGCCAGGAGGGCAGACAAGGGAGGAGGCCCAGCGAAAAGCCCCCUGGUAGCCUCAUUCAGGUGCUGGGCGACCUCGGACCAGUCUUCUCUAAACCUCUGUGCCUCAGUUUCCUCAGCUGUACAGAAAAAAUGGAACCGGUACCCGAGAGCUGCGGGGCGGGUUGCAUUAAAUGCGGUGACGCCCGUGACGCCCUCAGGGUCCGGACCAUUCGGGGAACAACAGAUACUGAUGGAAUGUGAAUUGGCAUCCCAGCAGCUGAGGGAAAGAGCCCUUGAUUAAACACAGGGACUCGGCCAGGACACUCAUUUUCCGUAGAAGGUGAGGGCAGGCUCCACACGCGCCUUAGAAACAAAAGCUAACUUUU